rnacentral:rRNA from 1 species
AUUGAACGCUGGCGGCAUGCCUUACACAUGCAAGUCGAACGGCAGCACGGACUUCGGUCUGGUGGCGAGUGGCGAACGGGUGAGUAAUAUAUCGGAACAUGCCCUGUAGUGGGGGAUAACUAUCCGAAAGGAUAGCUAAUACCGCAUACGCUCUAUGGAGGAAAGCGGGGGAUCGUAAGACCUCGUGCUAUAAGAGUGGCCGAUAUCUGAUUAGCUAGUUGGUGAGUUAAAGGCUCACCAAGGCGACGAUCAGUAGCUGGUCUGAGAGGACGACAAGCCACACUUGAACUGCGACACGGUCCAGACUCCUACGGGAGGCAGCAGUGGGUAAUUUUGGACAAUGGGCGCAAGCCUGAUCCAGCAAUGCCGCGUGCAGGAAGAAGGCCUUCGGGUUGUAAACUGCUUUUGUACGGAACGAAACGGCCUGGGUUAAUACCCUGGGCUAAUGACGGUACCGUAAGAAUAAGCACCGGCUAACUACGUGCCAGCCGCCGCCGUAAGAC